rnacentral:rRNA from 1 species
AUUGAACGCUGGCGGCAGGCCUAACACAUGCAAGUCGGGCGAGCGGCGGACGGGUGAGUAAUGUAUCGGGACUUCCUGAUGGCGGGGGUUAACUACUGGAAACUGUUGCUAAUACCGCAUACUAUCGGAUAACCCAUAUGGGAUUAGCUAGUAGUUGGGGUAAAGGCUCACCUGGGCGACUAUCUCUAGCUGGUCUGAGAGGAUGAUCAGCAACAUGGGAACGGAAACACGGCCCAGACUCCUCGGGAGGAAGCAGUGGGGAAUAUUGCAAAAUGGGGGCAAGCCGGAUGAAGCCAUGCCGGGUGUAUGAAGAAGGCCUCAGGGUUGUAAGGUACUUUCAGCGGGGAGGCGUUACCCGAAGAAGAAGCACCGGCUAACUCCGUGCCAGCAGCCGCGGUAAUUC